GACGAACGCUGGCGGCGUGCCUAAUACAUGCAAGUCGAGCGAAUCUUUGGGAGCUUGCUCCUAUUGAUUAGCGGCGGACGGGUGAGUAACACGUGGGCAACCUGCCUGUAAGACUGGGAUAACACCGGGAAACCGGUGCUAAUACCGGAUAAUCCUUUCCAUCACCUGAGGGAAAGCUGAAAGACGGGUUCGGCUGUCACUUACAGAUGGUCCCGCGGCGCAUGAGCUAGUUGGUGAGGUAACGGCUCACCAAGGCGACGAUGCGUAGCCGACCUGAGAGGGUGAGCGGCCACACUGGGACUGAGACACGGCCCAGACUCCUACGGGAGGCAGCAGUAGGGAAUCUUCCGCAAUGGACGAAAGUCUGACGGAGCAACGCCGCGUGAGCGAUGAAGGCCUUCGGGUCGUAAAGCUCUGUUGUUAGGGAAGAACAAGUAUCGGAGUAACUGCCGGUACCUUGACGGUACCUAACCAGAAAGCCACGGCUAACUACGUGCCAGCAGCCGCCGCAGUAA
rnacentral:rRNA from 1 species